UGGAAUUAUUUUUCUCAGAGGAGACUGUUUACUCUGUAUUUCUUAGAUUUUUAAAAAAAUGGAACAGUUUUUUAAUAUCAAAAGAUUUAAGUUUUCAUGUUAGUGGUUAAUAGCCCAGAUUGUAGCUGCUCUAUUUAUUAACCAGAUAUCACCAAGUUUUAGUGUGUUAAUUGGCCUGUUUUCCUGGGGCUUAAGAGCACAGUAAACUGGCAUUCUAUAAUUUGACUGUACGUUUGUUUUUGUCUAAAAAUUCAAUUUGUUUUUCUAGGUGGCAACUAUGGCGGUGGUCCUGGUUAUAGUAGUAGAGGAGGUUACGGUGGUGGUGGACCAGGAGGAUAUGGAAACCAAGGUGAUGGUGGAUAUAAUGGAUUUGGAGGUGAUGGUGGCAACUAUGGUGAUGGUCCUGGUUAUAGUAGUAGAGGAGGUUAUGGUGGUGGUGGACCAGGAUAUGGAAACCAAGGUGGUGGAUGUGGUGGCGGUGGUGGAAGAUAUGGUUACAAUGAAGGAGGAAAUUUUGGAGGUAACUAUGGUGGUGGUGGAAACUAUAAUGAUUUUGGAAAUNNNNNNNNNNNNNNNNNNNNNNNNNNNNNNNNNNNNNUUAAAACAUGAAAUUUCACAUUUUAUAAUAGAAAAUACUCAAAUAGUGGAGAGUUAAACUGAAUUUUUUUACACUGUUGCGAUUUAGUAAAUUUGCAAAACGUAUUCACAUGUUCUGCAUAUUGAAAUAGGACAUUUAACAGUAAUGUUUGUUGCCUGGAUUUUUACUUUAGGCACUUUUAAGCUGGACAGAUGGUAACUAUAAAUUGAAUAUGCAGACAUGUUGAAUAGGUGUUAUCAGGAUUUAGGUGAUUAAAAAUAUGUCAGUGGUGUUUCAGACUCAUUACUCCAUACUCCAUGAUACUUUAAAGAACAUUAUUAUGAGUGUAUUCAAUUUUGAAUUGUAUUGCUGUAUCAACAGGUUUUUCCUAAUAGUCAAUUUGAAAUGCUUUUUAUUAGUGACUUAGAAGUUAUACUGUUUCAGCUACAGUGAAUCUAUCAGAUUUUAUGGUGUUUAGUGUUGUGAAGAGAAUGUUCCAGAGUGUAGCAUUUAAUAUGAAGACUGGUAGCUGUCUAGUCUCUUGAGCCAAUUUUCACUCUCUCUUCCUCUCCUGUGUAUGUCUGAGAUCUUUCUGGUGGAAAGAGUUUGAUAGUUCUGUGAAAUCUUAAAGGAUUGUGUGUGUCAGGAUGGUGCCGUGAUUCUCAAAAGAUAAUGCAAUGCAUGUAUGUAUUAAAAACUUCUGUAGGUCAGCUACAAAUAAAAUCUUUGCAAUUUCAGGUAACUAUGGUGGUGGUGGAAACUAUAAUGAUUUUGGAAAUUAUAGUG
rnacentral:lncRNA from 1 species